UUAUACAGAGUCCCCAGAUAAUGAGAGUGCCGCUUUAAACAGAGUCACUUAGAUAAUGACAGUGCCACUUUAAGCAGAGUCCCCAGAUAAUGACAGUGCCAUUUUAAGCAGAGUCCCCAGAUAAUGACAGUGCCGCUUUAAGCAGAGUCCCCAGAUAAUGACAGUGCCGCUUUAAGCAGAGUCCCCAGAUAAUGACAGUGCCAUUUUAAGCAGAGUCCCCAGAUAAUGACAGUGCCGCUUUAAGCAGAGUUCCCAGAUAAUGACAGUACAGCUUUAAGCAGAAAUAUGCUCCGGUAUUGCCAAC